rnacentral:hammerhead_ribozyme from 1 species
AUUCAUCUGACGUGUCCCAAAUAGGAUGAUACAUGCUUCCUGGAU